AAAAGUUAGAGACUAAGGGUGUGUUCUUUGUUGCUUUUCAGAUGAGCUUUUCCAUGUAAAAGUGCUUUUCCCUGAAAAGCAAUAAAGAACAGAUGUCAGGGGUGAAAAUUUUUAACUUAUUUUAAGUGCUUUUUCACAGAUGAAAAAACAUAAAUUUUUAGCUUUUUUCAGCCUAAAAGUACUUUUUGCUGGUAUUUUACUUUUUUACCUCUAGCUCUUUAUUCCUCUUCUUCACCGGUGAGUUUAUCUUUUUCUUCUCUUCUUCUGUAUAUUUUUGUUCGUCUUUCUUAUGGGAUUGAUUUUCAUUAUUUAAAUUUCCAUCGUCUGGGUAGCUUCUCUUUGGAAGAUUUUCUUCUCCCAUUCAAAACCCACGUUUUUAAAUGAAGGUAACUCUAAUCUUUUUUCAGAUUUCUUUUACCUGUUGAUUUUGUUUCAAUUAAUAUUCAAAACCAGGGACACCUUUGCACAAAAAAAAUGUCUUGCUGGUUGUUGCGCACCCUGAUGAUGAGUCCAUGUUUUUUUGACCUACAAUAAACUACUUGACUUCAAAAGGGCACAAUCUUUACCUACCCUUGGUUCUUGGACUUGACAAAUUGAAACGAAUCUGUUCGUAUACACAAUAGAUGAGUACUUCGGCGGUUGAAGUUAGUAGUGAAAAAGUGAAAGCAAUAUGGGAUAAGAGAUUGACAGAAAUAUUUUGUGAUAUUUGUAUUAAAGAGAUAUUGAAAGGCAAUAGGCCUAGUACUCAUUUCACAAAAGAUGGAUGGUUGAAAAUAAUGACCAACUUUGAGAAAGAAACGGGCAAGGGUUUUUCACAAAGACAACUUAAAAAUAGGUGGGAUGCCCUAAAAAAAGAAUGGAAAGCUUGGAAGAAACUUAAAGGCGAAGAUACUGGUCUAGGGUAGAAUCUUAUAAAAAGAAUCGUUGAUGCAUCAGAUGAUUGGUGGGAGAGUAGGCUACAGGUUGUGCCUGAAGCUCAAAAAUUUAGAACAUCGGACAUUGAUUCUGAAUUCGAAGAGAAGUUGGAACAAAUGUUCAUGGGGAUAGUUGCAACAGGUGAUAAAGCAUGGACACCUUUUUCUAGUACACUCCGUAGUGAAUUUUUUGAGGAUGUUAACAACAAAAUACCUGAAGAGAAUGAAGAAGAAAAUAUGAGAAAUGAUGUUCACAUUUUAAAUGAUGUUCACAUUUCAAAUGAUGUUCAAAUUGAUGGAAACGGUCAAAAAAGAAAAAACCCUGAGAUAUCAAGUUCACAUUUUAAAACUGGAAGAAAUAAAUCCUCAAAGCAAAUUGGAGGGGCUGUAAGAUUGUCUAGUCAAAUAGAAAAAUUAUGCAAUGCAGUUGACAAUAUGAGUCAAGCCAUAUCUAGUUUGACUCCUGUUAUGGAUCCAUAUGGUAUUCCACAAGCAAUCAAAGUGCUUGACAGCAUGUCAGAAGAAGUUCUAGAAGCUAGUCCGCUAUACUUUUUCGCACUUAAAUUAUUGCUCAAUAAGGACAAGCGAAUUAUGUUUUUAUUAAUUAAUCCCAAGAUUAGAGCUUUGUGGCUUAA